AGUGAACGCUGGCGGUAGGCCUAACACAUGCAAGUCGAACGGCAACACAGUAAGAUCUUGCUCUUACGGGUGGCGAGUGGCGGACGGGUGAGGAAUACAUCGGAAUCUACUUUUUCGUGGGGGAUAACGUAGGGAAACUUACGCUAAUACCUCAUACGACCUACGGGUGGAAGCAGGAGAUCUUCGCACCUUGCGCGAUUGAAUUAGCCGAUGUCGGAUUAGCUAGUUGGCUUGGUAAAGGCCCACCAAGGCGACGAUCCGUAGCUGGUCUGAGAGGAUGAUCAGCCACACUGGAACUGAGACACGGUCCAGACUCCUACGGGAGGCAGCAGUGGGGAAUAUUGGACAAUGGGCGAAAGCCUGAUCCAGCCAUACCGCGUGGGUGAAGAAGGUCUUCGGGUUGUAAAGCCCUUUUGGUGGGAAAGAAAAGCAGCAGGUUAAUACCCCGCUGUUCUGACGGUACCCAAAGAAUAAGCACCGGCUAACUUCGUG
rnacentral:rRNA from 1 species